GUGGGCAGCCGAAAGGAGAAGUAGUCAGUAUGAGGAAAUUAUUUUGGUGAAGAAAUAAAUAGAUGCAGUGAAAAUCUGGCCAGCAUGAAUCACAUGAUACACGUGCCAGUUUUUUCAGUGUUAGUUCCUAUUUUUGAAGCGUCAAACAAACAGUAUAUAAGCACUGAUUUUACUGCUGUUUAGCACCUUCUCACUGGACGGCUGAAGCUAUCGGUCGGUGCUGAAAUGAAAUCUACUCUACAAAUAUUCUACAUAUUCUCCAGAAGGUCUGCAACAAAAUCUGUUCUAUCCUAUUUUUUAAUGAUGUCUUGAUGUCUUCUGUUUUUCACAGAGAUAUUAAAGAUCACCAUGAGGCUGCUGAUUGUGUUUGCACUUCUUUGUGUAAUGGUCCCUCUGAUCAUUACUGCUCAAAAAUCGGGCAGCAGUGGAGCAGAGGAUAAGCCACCAGAGCAUCUUGUUGACAAGAGAAGCCGGGGGCUUUGGCGCAGAGCUUUUAGUGUCUUUGGAUACGGGAAAAAGGUGGACGAAUGAUAUGUACGGUCACCACUGAUACCGAUUUUGUCUGGGUCUGAAAAAGAAGAUGAUCCCUGGUCUUCCAUGAAAAGCCAUGGCCACCAGACAAAGAAGCAAAUCAUUUCAUCCAACCCUAAACUAUCAGUUUCCCUCUUAGAUCUUUACUUAUUUCCUUUCGCUGUACUGCUACAUAAUGAAUUUGGCAACAAGUGACACAAACUGGAGUGGACUGGACCGUGUCUUCUAAUAGCAAUAGCUGUUCAUUUCUGUUCUUAUUAUCUUCAUCAUUAAACUCUUAAGCAUUAAAUCAAA
ensembl:lncRNA